GGUUAAGCGACUAAGCGUACACGGUGGAUGCCCUGGCAGUCAGAGGCGAUGAAGGACGUGCUAAUCUGCGAAAAGCGUCGGUAAGGUGAUAUGAACCGUUAUAACCGGCGAUGUCCGAAUGGGGAAACCCAGUGCAAUUCGUUGCACUAUCGUUAACUGAAUACAUAGGUUAACGAGGCGAACCGGGGGAACUGAAACAUCUAAGUACCCCGAGGAAAAGAAAUCAACCGAGAUUCCCCCAGUAGCGGCGAGCGAACGGGGAGCAGCCCAGAGUCUGAAUCAGC
rnacentral:rRNA from 1 species